AUUGCAAAGAGCUAUAGGAAUAAGGAGCUGGAGCAGGCUGAGGUAUGAGACCACAGGCAAAGAGGUGAAGCAAAUAACCUCUGAACUCCAAGUGCAAGUGAAAGCAGAGCAUUAGUUGCAUGGGCAGCAAAGCCUGGAUGAGUGAAACUCUGUCUGUGGUUGGAAGCUAGAGGUGGAGGACAAAGGUGAAGGCAUCACAUCUCAUCAGUGUUUCUUGAUGAGACAGAUGUUCCUCAAAGGUCCUUCUCCCCAGUGCUUCAGAUCCUCAUCUGCAGGUGCAGCAUUAGUUACCGUCUUUCUGUGACACCUUAAGGAGUUGAUGUACUUGUACUUGGUAUCUGUAUGUAAAACUAGGAAGAUGUAGCAAAAUAAAAACAUCGUUUCUCUGCCUUUUAGAUGCAUUACUUAAGAUGUUCUCAUUUUUCUUGUAAUAUUAUCUGGUAUCUCCUACCAUUAUUGAGUCCUUUAUAUGUGCAUGCACGCACACAAAAGUGAGUAGGUAAUGCAUGACCCCAAGAUCUGACAGCAAAAGACAACAAAAGAAGCAAAGAGACCAUGAUCACCAACUCACAGGUAGGAAACUAAUGUUCAGUGAGAUUAACUCAGUUGAUGUAACAGUUUCUAAAAGUGGUGUACUCCCAGCACAUACCAGCAUAAUUUCUGUACUUUGUCAUAUGAGGUUUUGUAUCUAUGCUUGAAUUUUAUAGCAUCUUAAUGUGAAUUGUUCCUAAGAGGAGUGUAAUUGCAGCAUCUAGCUAUGAUGAUAAUGGACAUUACAGAAUUACCUCAGUGGAAAAGCAGAUCCUACAUAUUG